UACGUAGGGUGCAAGCGUUGUCCGGAAUUAUUGGGCGUAAAGAGCUCGUAGGCGGUCUGUCGCGUCUGCUGUGAAAACUCGGGGCUUAACCCCGGGCCUGCAGUGGGUACGGGCAGACUAGAGUGCGGUAGGGGAGACUGGAAUUCCUGGUGUAGCGGUGAAAUGCGCAGAUAUCAGGAGGAACACCGGUGGCGAAGGCGGGUCUCUGGGCCGAAAUUGACGCUGAGGAGCGAAAGCGUGGGGAGCAAACAGG
rnacentral:rRNA from 1 species